rnacentral:rRNA from 1 species
CCUACGGGUGGCAGCAGUGAGGAAUAUUGGUCAAUGGCCGGAAGGCUGAACCAGCCAAGCCGCGUGAGGGACGACGGCGCCAAGCGUUGUAAACUUCUUUUGUAAGGGAAUAAAGUGAGGCACGUGUGCCUUUUUGUAUGUACUUUAUGAAAAAGGAUCGGCUAACUCCGUGCCAGCAGCCGCGGUAAUACGGAGGAUACGGGGGUUAUCCGGAUUUAUUGGGUUUAAAGGGAGCGCAGGUGGGUUGGUAAAUAAGGUGUGAAAGUUUGCGGCUCAAACGUAAAAUUGCAAUUGAAACUGGCAGCCUUGAGUACAGUGGAGGUAGGCGGAAUGCGUGGUGUAGCGGUGAAAUGCUUAGAUAUCACGAAGAACUCCGAUUGCGAAGGCAGCCUACUAAACUGCCACUGACAUUGAUGCUCGAAAGUGUGGGUAUCAAACAGGAUUAGAUACCCUUGUAGUC